rnacentral:rRNA from 1 species
UUUUGUAUAAUGGGUCAGCGACUUAUAUUCUGUAGCAAGGUUAACCGAAUAGGGGAGCCGAAGGGAAACCGAGUCUUAACUGGGCGUUAAGUUGCAGGGUAUAGACCCGAAACCCGGUGAUCUAGCCAUGGGCAGGUUGAAGGUUGGGUAACACUAACUGGAGGACCGAACCGACUAAUGUUGAAAAAUUAGCGGAUGACUUGUGGCUGGGGGUGAAAGGCCAAUCAAACCGGGAGAUAGCUGGUUCUCCCCGAAAGCUAUUUAGGUAGCGCCUCGUGAAUUCAUCUCCGGGGGUAGAGCACUGUUUCGGCAAGGGGGUCAUCCCGACUUACCAACCCGAUGCAAACUGCGAAUACCGGAGAAUGUUAUCACGGGAGACACACGGCGGGUGCUAACGUCCGUCGUGAAGAGGGAAACAACCCAGACCGCCAGCUAAGGUCCCAAAGUCAUGGUUAAGUGGGAAACGAUGUGGGAAGGCCCAGACAGCCAGGAUGUUGGCUUAGAAGCAGCCAUCAUUUAAAGAAAGCGUAAUAGCUCACUGGUCGAGUCGGCCUGCGCGGAAGAUGUAACGGGGCUAAACCAUGCACCGAAGCUGCGGCAGCGACGCUUAUGCGUUGU